rnacentral:rRNA from 1 species
AGCGAACGCUGGCGGCAGGCCUAACACAUGCAGGUCGAACGAACCUUUCGGGGUUAGUGGCGGACGGGUGAGUAACACGUGGGAACGUGCCUUUAGGUUCGGAAUAACUCAGGGAAACUUGUGCUAAUACCGAAUGUGCCCUUCGGGGGAAAGAUUAAUCGCCUUUAGAGCGGCCCGCGUCUGAUUAGCUAGUUGGUUGAGGUAAUGGCUCACCAAGGCGACGAUCAGUAGCUGGUCUGAGAGGAUGAUCAGCCACAUUGGGACUGAGACACGGCCCAAACUCCUACGGGAGGCAGCAGUGGGGAAUCUUGCGCAAUGGGCGAAAGCCUGACGCAGCCAUGCCGCGUGAAUGAUGAAGGUCUUAGGAUUGUAAAAUUCUUUCACCGGGGACGAUAAUGACGGUACCCGGAGAAGAAGCCCCGGCUAACUUCGU